rnacentral:rRNA from 1 species
GAUGAACGCUGGCGGCGUGCUUAACACAUGCAAGUCGAACGGAAAGGCCCAAGCUUGCUUGGGUACUCGAGUGGCGAACGGGUGAGUAACACGUGGGUGAUCUGCCCUGCACUUCGGGAUAAGCCUGGGAAACUGGGUCUAAUACCGGAUAGGACCACUUCUUUGAUGUUGUGGUGGAAAGUUUUUUCGGUGUGGGAUGAGCUCGCGGCCUAUCAGCUUGUUGGUGGGGUAAUGGCCUACCAAGGCGUCGACGGGUAGCCGGCCUGAGAGGGUGUACGGCCACAUUGGGACUGAGAUACGGCCCAGACUCCUACGGGAGGCAGCAGUGGGGAAUAUUGCACAAUGGGCGCAAGCCUGAUGCAGCGACGCCGCGUGGGGGAUGACGGCCUUCGGGUUGUAAACUCCUUUCGCUAGGGACGAAGCGUUUUGUGACGGUACCUGGAGAAGAAGCACCGGCUAACUACGUG